CUACACUACGAGCAGCCAGUGAGCCCGGGCAAUUGCCCACGGUGCCCGGCCGCUGCCUCCGGUGGUUCAAGCACGUUUUUGCGUGUGGUCUCCUGACUCUCCUCCACUUUCCCCUUCCCCAUCACCAUUUCUCUCCGGACAACCAAAUCUCGUCGGUGCUUCGCUGCUUCUACCUCGCGCGAUUCUUACCGAGGGACGGAGCUCGCAGAUCAGGGCUUCCCCGCACGAUUCUUAUCCAGCGGAUUAGGGCUUCCCCGCACGCCCGGCUGCCGGUCACAGCUGCCUGGAACGCGUGGAUGGGCGCACCGCGGGCUCGCAGUCGCAGAUCAAGGCAGGGCGCGGCUACCGUGCCGCUGCGGACAGGUCGCGGUCGGGGAGCGCCCGGAGACGGAGAAGCCGCGAGCACGCGGGCGCUGGCUGUGUCAGGGAAGGACCGGGAGAGCAGAGCAGGCGGCGCGAGCUCCACCGGGAGUUGAUGGGGGCCGCGAGGGGCUCUGCAUGUCGCGUGGCGAGGUGAUGGGGGCUUCACGAAGGGUUUUGGCAUGGUGAUUCGGCGCGGCAGGCUGCUAUCCCUCAUGGCCGACGAAUCGAGCACGCCGAGCGCAUCGAGCAUAUACGCUUGCAUCAAGUCACGAUUUUUGUGCAAUUAUUGGACAAAUUGGGCGGACACACCUGCAAAAAAGACCAUGGACCAAAUCUUUCAGAUCAGGGAAGUAAAUAACAAGGAUGAAAAUGGAUAGUCCUGAAGCAUGUGGUGGUGCACUGUUUUUUUUAUGCAGCAUCGUGUCAGUUUUUUUCAUCAACUCUUCUAUCCAUGAAAUACUAUUUCUGUAUGUAUCCAUCCUACUUCUAUGCAUGAUAGCUCCUGCUCGUAUGCUCUUAUGAGUUUGUCUUCUCUACAUGUCGCCUAGUCCUUUUUUUAUGUGUUUUUGCUCAUUGAAACAUGGCUUUUGGAGGCAUGCCCAGUUUUUUUUCCUAACCCCAGAUUCCAAUUCUGGGGGUGCAGGCUCAUGAGAACAUGUAGCAUGAUAGCAAAAUCAUAAUGGGCAUGAUGCUGGGAGUUAGUUUUUUAUGCAGCAUUUUGGGCUGAGAAGCAACUUUUAUUUCAUGUUUCCUAGGGUUUUGAGCAACAAUUUGUUGGUGGGGACGAGAAAGAGGUGCUACAGGGUAUAGGCAGUAAAUUUCUGGGUAGGGAGGGAGGCAACUUGUGGUGCUUCAAGAAAGAUUCAUGGAGGUAAUGUCACGGUUAUGGGCCAGUCCACAACGACAAGUGAAGACCUGGAGCAACAAGUGAUAGUCCAGCCUGUUAAUGAUGUGCCAGGCCGGUGCUUGAGGCCUGGCUGCGUCCAGCUGCAGAGGCUUUGCCUAUGUAACACUAGUCUUAAGGAUGGAGGGUUCAUCGAUAAACUGACUUGUAGCUUGAGCUACUUUCCUCCUCCGUUGCUCUUCUUACUCAAAUUCUCUGCUUGUAACUGAAUCUGAACCAAGAGUUGCAGAUCUGAACCUAUUUGGUGUGUUGCCACUAGGUCUGAUCGUAACUGGCAGAAGGAAGCUUUUUUUUCUUUUUUUA